rnacentral:rRNA from 1 species
GUGGAUUAGAUACCCUGGUAGUCCACGCCCUAAACGAUGCGAACUGGAUGUUGGGCUCAACUUGGAGCUCAGUAUCGAAGCUAACGCGUUAAGUUCGCCGCCUGGGGAGUACGGUCGCAAGACUGAAACUCAAAGGAAUUGACGGGGGCCCGCACAAGCGGUGGAGUAUGUGGUUUAAUUCGAUGCAACGCGAAGAACCUUACCUGGCCUUGACAUGCACUGAACUUUCCAGAGAUGGAUUGGUGCCUUCGGGAACCGUGACACAGGUGCUGCAUGGUUGUCGUCAGCU